rnacentral:rRNA from 1 species
UACGUAGGUGGCAAGCGUUGUCCGGAUUUACUGGGCGUAAAGGGCGUGCAGGCGGUUUGUUAAGUGCAGGGUGAAAGCUCCCGGCUCAACUGGGAGGAGGCCUGCAUACUGGCGAACUCGAGGGAGGCAGAGGAAAGUGGAAUUCCCGGUGUAGUGGUGAUAUGCGUAGAUAUCGGGAGGAACACCUGUGGCGAAGGCGGCGCACUGGACCACAACUGACGCUGAGGCGCGAAAGCUAGGGGAGCAAACAGG